rnacentral:rRNA from 1 species
GACGAACGCUGGCGGCGUGCUUAACACAUGCAAGUCGAACGGAAAGGCCCUGCUUUUGUGGGGUGCUCGAGUGGCGAACGGGUGAGUAACACGUGAGUAACCUGCCCUUGACUUUGGGAUAACUUCAGGAAACUGGGGCUAAUACCGGAUAGGAGCUCCUGCUGCAUGGUGGGGGUUGGAAAGUUUCGGCGGUUGGGGAUGGACUCGCGGCUUAUCAGCUUGUUGGUGGGGUAGUGGCUUACCAAGGCUUUGACGGGUAGCCGGCCUGAGAGGGUGACCGGCCACUUUGGGACUGCGAUACGGGCCAGACUCCUACGGGAGGCAUCAGUGGUUUAUAUUGCACAAUGGGCGGGAGCAUGAUGCAGCAACGCAGCGUGCGGGAUGACGGCCUUCGGGUUGUAAACCGCUUUCGCCUGUGACGAAGCGUGAGUGACGGUAAUGGGUAAAGGAGCACCGGCUAACUAC